rnacentral:misc_RNA from 1 species
UUUGAACAUAGAAUGUUUGAUGGAUGAGAAGGAUGUGAAGGGAAUCAUUAAGCGUGAGGAAUUUGAACAAAUAAGCAUUCCUAUUUUAGAACGUGUGAAAGGACCUUUGGAGCAUGCUCUUGCAGAAGCUGGUCUUACCAUUGAAAAUAUCCAUAUAGUUGAAGUUGUUGGUUCAGGUUCUCGUGUCCCUGCUAUAAUCAAAA